rnacentral:rRNA from 1 species
AUGCAAGCACUUGGUUUUAUUCCUUCAAAGUCUGACACUUCAUUAUUCAUUUAUAACAAGUCAAAAAUAUCCAUAUUUGUUCUCAUUUAUGUUGAUGAUAUAAUUGUGACAAGUUCAUCUGAUGAAGCAAUAACAGCACUGUUGAAGGAUUUAAGUGCAGAAUUUGCUCUCAAGGAUCUAGGAGAUCUACACUACUUUCUUGGCAUUGAGGUUAAGCAGCACAAGGAUGGCCUUCAUCUCUCUCAAGAAAAGUAUGCAACAGACUUAGUGAAAAAGGCUGGUCUACAGAGUUGUAAGCCUGCGCCCACUCCUUUAUCUAGCACAGAAAAAUUAUCUCUUACUGAAGGAGAACUUCUGGACUCAGAAAAUAGUACAAAGUACAGAAGUUUGGUAGGUGCUCUUCAAUACUUGACAUUGACACGGCCAGAUAUCUCAUUUGCUGUCAAUAAAGUAUGUCAAUUCCUUCAUGCACCUACCACAGUUCACUUGACUGCUGCAAAGCGCAUAGUGAGAUAUGUGAAAAAUACAUUAAGCAUUGGUUUGAAUUUUAGCAAGUCAUCUUCCACACUUAUCAGUGCUUUCUCUGACUCAGAUUGGGCAGGAUGCUUAGAUGAUAGACGCGCAACCGGUGGUUUUGCAGUAUUCUUUGGACCUAAUUUGAUAUCUUGGAGUGCAAGGAAGCAAGCCACGGUUUCUAGAUCUAGCACAGAAGUAGAAUACAAAGCAUUGGCCAAUGCAACCGCAGAGAUCAUAUGGGUGCAGUCAAUUUUGAAAGAACUAGGCAUGAAAAACACUAAGGCUCCAUGUCUAUGGUGUGAUAAUCUAGGUGCUACCUAUUUGUCAGCAAAUCCAGUUUUCCAUGCUAGAAGUAAACAUAUUGAGAUAGAUUUUCACUUUGUUCGUGAGAGAGUUGGAAACAAACUCUUAGACAUUCGGUUUAUUCACUCCCAAGACCAAGUUGCAGAUGGGUUUACCAAAGCUCUUCCUACAAAAAGUUUUGAGGCUUUCAAG